AGGCUUACAGGACUCAUCCAAACCCUGAAGAGCCAACACUAUCUCCUUUCUGAACAAUAUGAUCAUUUCUGAUUUCCAAGAGUAAAGCGACCUCAAAUUCAAACUGCCUGUGAUGAAGGAGAGGCGUGGAGGCACCGUCCGUGAGAGGCAGACAACAGAAAGUCACAGACCACAGUAUGUGUUAAAAUAGGAAAUAUCAUCUGGACGGCACGGAUUAACUAUAUCCCAGAGACAAGGAAGGAGCCAGAUUCGAAAUCCAAGCUGUCUAGGAAGUAAUCUUCAGAAGCAGCUGUUAAAACAGAACACUUUCUGCUAUCUGCCAGAGCCGCCCUGUCAGCUCUGUGUUGGAUUUAAAACAGUGGUGAUCAACUCUUGGAGUCAAGUCAUCUUGCCAGGUUAGAUGCAGAUAUCACUAUCAUGUCUGGCUCAGUGUUCAUUCUCAAUAUGGGAAUGAUGGGGCGGGCCAUUGGCGAUGUUUCAAUGCUGUGACGGC
rnacentral:lncRNA from 1 species